rnacentral:misc_RNA from 1 species
UCUCCGUUGGUGAACCAGCGGAGGGAUCAUUACAGGACUCGCAAGACUCCUACACCCCUGUCAACUUAACUAUAAGCACGUUGCUUCGGCGGGUGUCCCGGAGGGGGGGCUCCCUCCCCAAGACGACAACCCCGCCUGCAGCCUACUAUACUCUGUCUCUUUGCGUUGGCAUCUCGAUUACAAUCAAACAAGUUAAAACUUUCAACAACGGAUCUCUUGGUUCUG